rnacentral:rRNA from 1 species
CCUACGGGUGGCAGCAGUGAGGAAUAUUGGUCAAUGGGCGCGAGCCUGAACCAGCCAAGUCGCGUGAAGGAUGACUGCCCUACGGGUUGUAAACCUCUUUUAUCAAGGAAUAAAGCGAGCCACGUGUGCCUUUUUGUAUGUAUUUUAUGAAAAAGGAUCGGCUAACUCCGUGCCAGCAGCCGCGGUAAUACGGAGGAUUCGAGCGUUAUCCGGAUUUAUUGGGUUUAAAGGGAGCGUAGGUGGGUGGUGAAGUCAGUUGUGAAAGUUUGCGGCUCAACCGUAGAAUUGCAGUUGAUACUGGCUGCCUUGAGUGCGGUAGAGGUAGGCGGAAUUCGUGGUGUAGCGGUGAAAUGCUUAGAUAUCACGAAGAACUCCGAUUGCGAAGGCAGCCUACU